UCAGGAUGAACGCUAGCGACAGGCUUAACACAUGCAAGUCGAGGGGCAGCACGGAGUAGCAAUACUUGGUGGCGACCGGCGCACGGGUGAGUAACGCGUAUGCAACCUACCUAUCAGGAGGGGAAUAACCCGGCGAAAGUCGGACUAAUACCGCAUAAAACAGGGGCACCGCAUGGUGAUAUUUGUUAAAGAAAUUCGCUGAUAGAUGGGCAUGCGUUCCAUUAGGUAGUUGGUGAGGUAACGGCUCACCAAGCCGACGAUGGAUAGGGGAACUGAGAGGUUGGUCCCCCACACUGGUACUGAGACACGGACCAGACUCCUACGGGAGGCAGCAGUGAGGAAUAUUGGUCAAUGGGCGGGAGCCUGAACCAGCCAAAGUCGCGUGAAGGAAGAAGGAUCUAUGGUUCGUAAACUUCUUUUGCAGGGGAAUAAAGUGCAGGACGUGUCCCGUUUUGUAUGUACCCUGAGAAUAAGGAUCGGCUAACUCCGUGCCAGCCGCCGC
rnacentral:rRNA from 1 species